rnacentral:rRNA from 1 species
GACGAACGCUGGCGGCGUGCUUAACACAUGCAAGUCGAACGGUGAACUCCGCUUGCGGGGGGAUCAGUGGCGAACGGGUGAGUAACACGUGGGCAACCUGCCCUCAGCUCUGGGAUAACUCCAAGAAAUUGGGGCUAAUACCGGAUAUGACCGCUGACCGCAUGGUCUGGUGGUGGAAAGAUUUAUCGGCUGGGGAUGGGCCCGCGGCCUAUCAGCUUGUUGGUGGGGUAGUGGCCUACCAAGGCGACGACGGGUAGCCGGCCUGAGAGGGUGACCGGCCACACUGGGACUGAGACACGGCCCAGACUCCUACGGGAGGCAGCAGUGGGGAAUAUUGCGCAAUGGGCGAAAGCCUGACGUAGCGACGCCGCGUGGGGGAUGACGGCCUUCGGGUUGUAAACCUCUUUCAGCAGGGACGAAGCGAAAGUGACGGUACCUGCAGAAGAAGCACCGGCCAACUACGUG